CAAAAGUUAAGUAAAUAAAAAAGGUGCAUGAAUUCUAAACAUCACAAUGGAAGAUACAGACUUUGUAAAUAGUUUCUUUGUAGUUUCUGAAUGCAUUUGAAGGGAGUGUCUAUUGAUCGAAGCUGCCAGUUCUGUUGAAGGCAAAGUUGAUCUUUGAGUUUUCUUCUGAAACGAGACUUUAGAGGAGCUCUCCAAGGUGCUGCAUUCUUUUUGGAUGUGGAGAUUCUCAUUGAACCACCGAAUCGCUGCAAUCAUUGGAAUGUUCCCUUAAUAAUCUAAGUGUGGCUUUGCCGAUAUGAUCAUUUCCUAUCUUGAGAUGUUUCUCCUGAAUCAGUUUAGAAAGUUAGGUCUCAGCAGAGAGCAAAUCGUGAGAGAAAAAGAAAGGCAAUCAGCAAACAGCAGCACUACAAGCAACAUAAGACAUCAGCCAUGUUGGUAUGAGAGUGCAGAAGCCCCAGCGUCUUUUAUAUAUCAUAUUUUGAUGUAUAUUUAUGUUUUAUAUGUACCAUACCUAAGUUUUGAUUAGAAGUCUAUGUAACAAAGUAAACUAGUGCCUCAUGUUGAACUGUAUAUAGAAACUAACAAUGCCACAAUACUUAGAAUAAGU
rnacentral:lncRNA from 11 species